UGGGGAAUAUUGCACAAUGGGGGAAACCCUGAUGCAGCGACGCCGCGUGAACGAAGAAGGUAUUCGUAUCGUAAAGUUCUGUCCUAUGGGAAGAUAAUGACAGUACCAUAGAAGAAAGCUCCGGCUAAAUACGUGCCAGCAGCCGCGGUAAUACGUAUGGAGCGAGCGUUGUCCGGAAUUAUUGGGCGUAAAGGGAACGCAGGCGGUUUAAUAAGUCGAAUGUUAAAGAUCGGGGCUCAACCCCGCAAAGCAUUGGAAACUGAUAAACUUGAGUAGUGGAGAGGAAAGUGGAAUUCCUAGUGUAGUGGUGAAAUACGUAGAUAUUAGGAGGAAUACCAGUAGCGAAGGCGACUUUCUGGACACAAACUGACGCUGAGGUACGAAAGCGUGGGGAGCAAACAGG
rnacentral:rRNA from 1 species